rnacentral:sRNA from 1 species
AAUGUGGCGCUCCACGGUUGGUGAGCAUGCUCGGUUCGUCCGAGAAGCCUUAAAACCGUGACGACAUAUUCACCUUGAACCAAGGGUUCAAGGGUUACAGCCUGCGGCGGCAUCUCGGAGAUUCC